rnacentral:rRNA from 1 species
GAUGAACGCUGGCGGCGUGCUUAACACAUGCAAGUCGAGCGAAGCACUGUAAUUGGAAGCCUACGGGAAGAAGAAUAUAGUGACUGAGCGGCGGACGGGUGAGUAACGCGUGGGCAACCUGCCUUGCACAGGGGGAUAACAGUUAGAAAUGACUGCUAAUACCGCAUAAGACCACAGCCCCGCAUGGGGCGGAGGUAAAAACCGAGGUGGUGCAAGAUGGGCCCGCGUCUGAUUAGGCAGUUGGUGGGGUAAGGGCCCACCAAACCGACGAUCAGUAGCCGACCUGAGAGGGCGACCGGCCACAUUGGGACUGAGACACGGCCCAA